CUACGGGGUGCUGCAGUGGGGAAUAUUGGACAAUGGGGGAAACCCUGAUCCAGCAAUGCCGCGUGUGUGAAGAAGACCUGCGGGUUGUAAAGCACUUUCGGUUGGGAGGACUGCUUCUAGCACUAAUAUUGUUGGAAGUUGACGUUACCUUCAGAAGAAGCACCGGCUAACUCCGUGCCAGCAGCCGCGGUAAACGGAGGGUGCAAGCGUUAAUCGGAAUUACUGGGCGUAAAGCGCGCGUAGGCGGCUAGAUCAGUCGGGUGUAGAAAGCCCCGGGCUUAACCUGGGAACUGCAUCCGAUACUGUCUAGCUUGAGUACAGGAGAGGAGAGUGGAAUUCCACAUGUAGCGGUGAAAUGCGUAGAUAUGUGGAGGAACACCAAUGGCGAAGGCAGCUCUCUGGCCUGAUACUGACGCUGAGGUGCGAAAGCGUGGGGAGCAAACAGGAUUAGAUACCCUAGUAGUC
rnacentral:rRNA from 1 species